rnacentral:rRNA from 1 species
GACGAACGCUGGCGGCGUGCCUAAUACAUGCAAGUCGAACGAAGUGGCGAACGGGUGAGUAACGCGUAAUCAACCUGCCCUUCAGAGGGGGACAACAGUUGGAAACGACUGCUAAUACCGCAUACUGAAGGAGGGGAUUGCGUCUGAUUAGCUAGUUGGAGGGGUAACGGCCCACCAAGGCGAUGAUCAGUAGCCGGUCCGAGAGGGUUGACGGGCAAAUUGGGAACGAGACACGGCCCAGACUCCUACGGGAGGCAGGAGUGGGGAAUCUUCCGCAAUGGACGAAAGUCUGACGGAGCAACGCCGCGGGAGGGAUGAGGGGCUUCGGGUUGUAAAGCUCUGUUAAUCGGGACGCGGUACCGGAAUAGAAAGCCACGGCUAACUACGUGCCAGCCGCCGCGGUAAUUC